UUAAGUUCAGCGGGUAUCCCUACCUGAUCCGAGGUCAACCUGAGAAAGUGGGCGCGAGCCCGGUUUUUCCGGCGGACGAAGCCCCAGCCUCCAAAGCGAAAUAGCGAUUUACCACGCUUGAAGCCGGGACACCGUCGCCGAUGUCUUUGAGGCACGCGGGCAUCCACGCGUAUUUCUACGCGUGGUCCCCCGCGACGCCC
rnacentral:misc_RNA from 1 species